AUUGAACGCUGGCGGCAUGCUUUACACAUGCAAGUCGAACGGUAACAGGCCGCAAGGUGCUGACGAGUGGCGAACGGGUGAGUAAUGCAUCGGAACGUGCCCAGUCGUGGGGGAUAACGCAGCGAAAGCUGUGCUAAUACCGCAUACGAUCUAUGGACGAAAGCGGGGGACCGUAAGGCCUCGCGCGAUUGGAGCGGCCGAUAUCAGAUUAGCUAGUUGGUGGGGUAAAGGCCCACCAAGGCGGCGAUCUGUAGCUGGUCUGAGAGGACGACCAGCCACACUGGAACUGAGACACGGUCCAGACUCCUACGGGAGGCAGCAGUGGGGAAUUUUGGACAAUGGGCGCAAGCCUGAUCCAGCGAUGCCGCGUGCAGGAUGAAGGCCUUCGGGUUGUAAACUGCUUUUGUACGGAACGAAACGGCGAGCUCUAAUAAAGUUUGCUAAUGACGGUACCGUAAGAAUAAGCACCGGCUAACUACGUGCCAGCCGCCGCGGUAA
rnacentral:rRNA from 1 species